UACGGGGGGGGCAAGCGUUGUUCGGAAUUACUGGGCGUAAAGGGCUCGUAGGUGGCCAACUAAGUCAUACGUGAAAUCCCUCGGCUUAACCGGGGAACUGCGUCUGAUACUGGAUGGCUUGAGGUUGGGAGAGGGAUGCGGAAUUCCAGGUGUAGCGGUGAAAUGCGUAGAUAUCUGGAGGAACACCGGUGGCGAAGGCGGCAUCCUGGACCGGCAUUGACGCUGAGGAGCGAAAGCCAGGGGAGCAAACGGG
rnacentral:rRNA from 1 species